rnacentral:lncRNA from 1 species
ACGUCACUUCCGCCAGCUACUGGGUACGCAGUUCAAUUUGUGGGUGUGGGUAUCUGUUGGACCUUGACCUAACCAGGAAAUCUUUACUUUUCGCGCCUUCCCUACUGUGGGUCCCGAGCCUUUCCGGGCGUCUCAAGUUCUAGGCUCAGUUUUCGAACUUUGUGCCAAAACCUUGUGAGCAGCUUCCCUAGAGCCCCAGCCUGGGAGUCAUCAGGUGUGAAGGGGUCACUUGUCUGUGAGGUGUGUGCUUAGGUUUUGUUUAUAUUACACCAUACAUAGCUAACAGAGUCAGGGAAUUGAUUGUGGUUGUUUGGAAGCACCAAGAAUUUUUUUUCUCUCAGGCUUCCAGUUUGCGUUUCAAUCGCCAUACUGUCAACAUUGCAGGGAAAUUUACUAACCGUGCCCUACUGGCCUUAUUUGUUUUGUCUAAAAUCAAAUCUGGAGUCCAGAGGAAAUAAGCUAGAGGACCGUGGUUUUUCAGGGACACCAGACUUGUCCAAGAGUGUUUCUCGAACUGUGGUAGAUGGGAAGAGACAGCUACUCCGAUGCGACUUGGUUUUCUUUAAAACUGAGUUUUUGUCUGGUUGGCUUUAAAAUCGGUUAUAAGGCGUAGCUUAGCAAACACCUGGUCUAAGUAGAUAGGAAGCUUUAAUUACUAACAAAUCAGUCACAUCAAUUUUUAGCCUGUUUUAAUUUAAUUGAAAAUUUUAUUAAUGAUAAAAUGUUCUUUGACAUACUCAUUUUCUUGCUUCCUGAAUUCUAGACCCACCUGGGUUUCAGUCUUAGCCCUAAUUUUGACCUUGUUUGGAUCUCAGUAAUUUUUUUGAUCAAGUGCCCAGGGAUAUAUUUGGCCCAGUAGUCUGCCAUUGGAUAUUGGUAGAAUGACUGAAUAACUUAUGAAUAAUGGCUAUUUCUUUCCCCAUUGCAGCCCCUGAAAUCAAGCAGAUAUAUUUGCAAAAUAGUCUUGAAAAUUCAACCCCCAAUGUUUAUUAUUUUAUUUUAUUUUAUUUUGUCUUUUUGCCUUUUCUAGUGCCGCUCCUGCGGCAUAAGGAGGUUCCCGGGUUAGGGGUCAAAUCAGAGUUACAGCUGCCAGCCUAUGCCACAGCCACAGCAAUGCCAGAUCUGAUUCGCAUCUGUGACCUACACCACAGCUCACAGCAACGCAGGAUCCUUAACCCAUGGAUUGAGCCAGGGAUCAAACCCACAACCUCAUGGUUCCUAGUCGGAUUCAUUAACCACUGAGCCAUGACGGGAACUCCAAUCCGGAAUGUUUAAAAGAAACUGGUAUAUCCAUUACGUAGAAUACUACUCAGCAACAAAAAGGAACAUAUUGUCAAUAUGCACACCUUAAACUAACCUGCAGGAAAUUAUAUUGGCUCAAUACAGUAUUGCUUUUCUAACCCUAAUUUUGGGCAUGGGUAGGAAAUCAAUAAAGACAAUAGACAGGUGUAUUCUGAUAAAAUUUAUGUGUUUAUCUUGUCACAGCUAAGGAAUUCAUUUAUAUGGCACUUGUUCAGGCAGAAUAUUCAGUUUACCAGUAAGAGACACAAAUAGGUUAUUUACAGUGAUGGCUACUUAAUGUCAGCCUUCUAGAGAGACCUGCUGGUUGUAGGUCUCUAGAGAGACCUUCCAAGUAGUAGGACCUUUCUCCAACUGUCCCAUCCCUUUCAAAGUUCCUUUCUCUCUUGUAAUUUGUCCUGAAGUUAAAGCAAGAGUUCUUUAAAUAGGUUCCCUGGCGUCAGUCAGGAUGCAUUCUGUACCUUGAACUGUCUUCCAGAUUAUAUGGUUCCAAAUGUGAAUCUCUUUUUGCUUAGAACUCCUCUAUUGACUAUUAAUUACUUUGUGUUGUUUUGAGAUCAUUUGCUACAGUGAUGUUGUUCUGGUGGUUAGAUGUUAUGGACAUAAACUCAUCCUUUUAAUUCAUAGUUUGAAUUACCUAUGUUUACACAUGACAGUAGAUAUGACCACUACAGCAUGGAGAUAUGAGAUGAUAAAGUAUACCUUGUUGUCAGUAUAAAUGAUUAAGCAUUCAUCAAAUGCUUAGUAAGUAAGUGCUUAUGUAGCGUAAUCACACCAUAAUUCCUAUUAUGAACUAUAUAUAUUAUGCUGUAAUUAUCUGUAAUGCCAUAAAUGUAAUAUAAAUAUUAGCAGUUAUUAUUAUCCAGAGACCAAAGGUGAUUUUCACCAAGUUUUUCUUUCCUUUGUAGCUACAUCCUUGGCAUCUCAUGCAAAAAGUUAACUUUUUCAAAAUUCUACCUCUUAGACAUGCACUCAGGCAUACCCCCCAUUACUACUUGAAAUCAAGCUCUAAGAAAGUUUAGCCUCUUUAGGAAUAAGUUCUCCAACUCUCACGCCUUGUCUCAUGAUCUGCCUCUUUCUAGGAGGACUGAGAAUAAAACUGUCCACUGACUUAUGGGGAGACUUCAUUCCCUACCAACUAGGAGUGUUUUUGUUGGGAACCCACAGUUUCAUCAUAGCACAAUAACCCAGGAUCAUUAUGCUUUCUAAAGUCUUGUUAUUCAUUCUUAACUAUGUGAAAAGUAAAGAUAUUAAGUGAGUUCUAUUGUGGCUCAGUGGGUUAAGGACCCAAUGUUGUCUCUGUGAGUAUGUGUUUUCAAUUACUGCCCUCGCUCAGUGGGUUAAGGAUCUGGUGUUGCUGCGAGCUGCUGCAUAGGUCACAGAUGCAUCUUGGAUUUGGUGUUGCUGUGGCAUAAGCCUUAGCUGCAGUUCCAGUUCAACCCCAGGCUGGAACUUUCAUCUGCUGUGGAUGCGACCUUUAAAAAAAAAAGAUAUUAAAAUUAAGCACUAAUGGAGGGAAUUCUGCUUUUAGUUAAGAUGUAGAGGGAUAUAAAAGAGGAGUGGUAAAUAAGAAUCCCAACAAAAUUAAAAUCAGAUUUUUCCAUGAGGUAAGCAAGGAGUGAAGAAUGAAAGAAAGCCCUGAAGAAUUUCUUUUCAAAGAGAAAUGAGGCAUUCACAAAUGAACAGAAAGCCUCAGCAGUUUCCCACUUGGAAGCAGGCACCUGGUCUAAAUAUGAACAGAUGGAGAAUUGGCUUGUCAAAGAUAGAGAGGAGAAAAAGCCAACCAAGAUUUAGAUAGCACUGUGGGUUUGUGGGCUGCAUAGGAAUUGUGAAGAAGCCUAUAGUAGACUGAGUUUUCCAAAAAUGUUCUCAGCAGUAUCUUCCAUCCUACAGAAUCUUUCCUACAGUGUGACAAUGAUGUUUCUUCCAUGAAGUGGUAGUGUUCAUGGUCCCUGCCUUGAAUCUGGUCAAGUUUGUGACAAUGGUGAAAAUAAUGAUCUGUGAAUUAUGAGGCUAGUAUUAAAAGAUGUCAUACCUUCUAGCUGGCCCUCUUGGAAUAUAUGACUUUGCAACCCCAAUUAUAAUGUAGAGAGCCCACAGUUGUAAAGAGGUCUACAGUGAUGUGAGGAAAGGUCAUGUGGAGGUGUUCUGGAUCAUCUCAAGCUGAGUUCUCAGCCAGCAGUCGGGAUCAACUAGCAGGCAUGCAAUUGGAGCCAUCGCUAGAAGAUUCCUGCUCACUGGAGGCUGGUUACCUCCAGCCUGAUUCACAGUACCCCUGAACAUAAUAAAAAGAAUUUAUU